CCCCCCCCCAAUCUUGGGCGAGGGGUCCCCCUCCCUCCUGCUUCUACCAUCGUUACGGAGAAGUGGUGGUUUUGCGCAGGCGUGUAGAGGGGCCCGGGAUUUUGGACUCCAGGACUCUGAACAGUGACAGGGGCGCGCUCCUGCUGCUUGGUGCAGAACACCUUCAACUGCCAUUGAAAUUGAUGAGAGUUGAGGACAUUAAGCAUCUUGCAGAGUGGAGAAUUCAAAGAGAAAC